UCAAAGUAUAGUCUGGACCAAAGGAUAAUAUUAUUUGAACUCCAAAAAGGGGUGAAAUAUGAACCCAAGAGUAAACUGGUGUGAACCAACAAGUGAGGAGGUAGUUUCUCUAAGAAGUAUGGAGGUCUCAUGUGAAGAAAAAUUCCAGAUCCCAACAACAUCAUCAUCAAGUAUCCUCAGUUAUUCCAGUGUUUACCUACAAUUCUGCAAUUCAGUCAGCA
rnacentral:lncRNA from 1 species